AUUGGGGCCGGAAAGGCCGACUCUCUGGUCUGUAACUGACGCUGAGGAGCGAAAGCGUGGGGAGCGAACAGGAUUAAAUACCCUGGUAGUCCACGCCGUAAACGAUGAGUGCUAACUGUUAGGGGGUUUCCGCCCCUUAGUGCUGCAGCUAACGCAUUAAGCACUCCGCCUGGGGAGUACGGUCGCAAGACUGAAAACUCAAAGGAAUUGACGGGGGCCCGCACAAGCGGUGGAGCAUGUGGUUUAAUUCGAAAGCAACGCGAAGAACCUUACCAGGUCUUGACAUGCCCAGAACAUUCCAGAGAUGGAUUGUUCCCUUCGGGAACUCAAUGACAGGUGCUGCAUGGCUGUCGUCAGCUCGUGUCGUGAGAUGUUGGGUUAAGUCCCGAACCAGCGCAACCCUUGUUCUUAGUUGCAAGCACAAAUGGGGGAAUCUCUAA
rnacentral:rRNA from 1 species